rnacentral:rRNA from 1 species
AUUGAACGCUGGCGGCAUGCUUUACACAUGCAAGUCGAGCGGCAGCGCGGGGGCAACCCUGGCGGCGAGCGGCGAACGGGUGAGUAAUGCAUCGGAACGUACCCUGGAGUGGGGGGAUAACGCCGCGAAAGCGGCGCUAAUACCGCAUAUGCUCUGAGGAGGAAAGUGGGGGGACCGCAAGGCCUCACGCUCUGGGAGCGGCCGAUGUCCGAUUAGCUAGUUGGUGAGGUAAAGGCUUACCAAGGCGACGAUCGGUAGCUGGUCUGAGAGGAUGAUCAGCCACACUGGGGCUGAGACACGGCCCAGACUCCUACGGGAGGCAGCAGUGGGGAAUUUUGGACAAUGGGGGCAACCCUGAUCCAGCCAUGCCGCGUGAGUGAAGAAGGCCUUCGGGUU